AAAUUGAAGAGUUUGAUCAUGGCUCAGAUUGAACGCUGGCGGCAGGCCUAACACAUGCAAGUCGAACGGUAACAGAAAGCAGCUUGCUGCUUUGCUGACGAGUGGCGGACGGGUGAGUAAUGUCUGGGAAACUGCCUGAUGGAGGGGGAUAACUACUGGAAACGGUAGCUAAUACCGCAUAAUGUCGAAAGACCAAAGAGGGGGACCUUCGGGCCUCUUGCCAUCGGAUGUGCCCAGAUGGGAUUAGCUAGUAGGUGGGGUAACG
rnacentral:rRNA from 1 species